UACGUAGGGUGCAAGCGUUAAUCGGAAUUACUGGGCGUAAAGCGUGCGCAGGCGGUUUUGUAAGUCUGUCGUGAAAGCCCCGGGCUCAACCUGGGAAUUGCGAUGGAGACUGCAAGGCUAGAAUCUGGCAGAGGGGGGUAGAAUUCCACGUGUAGCAGUGAAAUGCGUAGAGAUGUGGAGGAACACCGAUGGCGAAGGCAGCCCCCUGGGUCAAGAUUGACGCUCAUGUACGAAAGCGUGGGGAGCAAACAGG
rnacentral:rRNA from 1 species